rnacentral:rRNA from 1 species
AAUCAAGUGCCUUAAGGGUGUUCGGUGGAUGCCUUGGCGCUGAGAGGCGAUGAAGGACGUGCUACGCUGCGAUAAGCCGUGGGGAGCUGCGAAGAAGCUUUGAUCCGCGGAUUUCCGAAUGGGGAAACCCACCUUCGAUAGCCGGAACUCCAAGACCUUGUGUGUUGGGGUUCGACCAGAAAUGCGAGAAAUCAAACCGCGAGGUUUUGGAUUUCCGGUUAUCAAGAGAAGGUAUGAGACCUCCGAAUAAAAUAGGAGGUUUUAAGCAAACCCAGGGAACUGAAACAUCUAAGUACCUGGAGGAAAGGACAUCAAUCGAGACUCCGUUAGUAGUGGCGAGCGAACGCGGACCAGGCCAGUGAUACAUCAAAGACAAUCGGAACCUGUCAGGAAAGCAGGGCCUCAGAGGGUGAUAGCCCCGUACGAGUAAUGCGAUGAUGUAUCCACGAGUCGG